AGCUGGCGCCGGUGCAGUGGCGACCCGUGAACCUCGUCAGGUCCGGAAGGAAGCAGCGAUAAGCGGAAUCCGCCAGGUGCCGCCGGUGGUUCGGCUCCA
rnacentral:SRP_RNA from 1 species